GAACUCGGUGGGGUGGAGCCCGGCCUCGGCUGGUUGCCAGUCGACCCAGACCCGGGAUGUUCCCCCAGUGAGUUUG
rnacentral:tRNA from 1 species